GAAUACAAAUCAUUUAAUUUUAUAGAAAUAUACACAUAAAUGAUAGUUGAAAAAAUAAAGUUUAAGUCAGGCUUUUUUCCUAUCAGAGUUUCCGCUAGAUGGCAGUGAUAGUGAACAAAACUGACUAACAGUUCGUCUGCUUGCGAAGAGAGAAAUAGUUAAUCUGCUUUAGAAGUCGCGUUGACGUAAGCACGUCUUGCCUUUAUUGAGUAAUGUUUCAAAAUGUUGGUAGUGAAACAAAACUUUGUUGUGGCUUUAUGAGAAACCAAGAUCCUUUUCUCAAAUGGAAAGAGACUUUACUGGACAGAUGUAAUUUGCAUAAAAGAGAUUGCACUUGUAAAAUUUUCCGAACCUUUUCCUUGCAAAAACUCUUCAUUAGGCUCUUGUAGUUAUAUCAUAGUUGUCUUGUGGCUACCAAUGGCGGCCAUGCCAUGUUUGACAGCAUCUAGUUGUAUUUGUAGUCUGUGAAAAGAAAAUAAAUACAAGCAUAAUGAAAC